rnacentral:rRNA from 1 species
AUUGAACGCUGGCGGCAUGCUUUACACAUGCAAGUCGAACGGCAGCGCGGGCUUCGGCCUGGCGGCGAGUGGCGAACGGGUGAGUAAUGCAUCGGAACGUGCCCAGUAGUGGGGGAUAGCCCGGCGAAAGCCGGAUUAAUACCGCAUACGACCUGAGGGUGAAAGCGGGGGACCGAAAGGCCUCGCGCUAUUGGAGCGGCCGAUGUCGGAUUAGCUAGGUGGUGGGGUAAAGGCUUACCAAGGCGACGAUCCGUAGCUGGUCUGAGAGGACGACCAGCCACACUGGGACUGAGACACGGCCCAGACUCCUACGGGAGGCAGCAGUGGGGAAUUUUGGACAAUGGGGGCAACCCUGAUCCAGCCAUGCCGCGUGCGGGAAGAAGGCCUUCGGGUUGUAAACCGCUUUUGUUCGGGAAGAAAUCCUCUGGGCUAAUACCCCGGGGGGAUGACGGUACCGGAAGAAUAAGCACCGGCUAACUACGUG